UGUGUAGGCGGUGUUCUAAGUCUGGUGUGAAAUCUCCCGGCUCAACUGGGAGGGUGCGCCGGAAACUGGAAUGCUCGAGUGUGGGAGAGGUAAGCGGAAUUCCUGGUGUAGCGGUGAAAUGCGUAGAUAUCAGGAGGAACACCUGUGGUGUAGACAGCUUACUGGACCGCGACUGACGCUGAGACACGAAAGCGUGGGUAGCAAACAGGAUUAGAUACCCUGGUAGUCCACGCCCUAAACGAUGCAUACUUGGUGUGAGCGAUUCAUUUCGUUCGUGCCGGAGCUAACGCGUUAAGUAUGCCGCCUGGGGAGUACGGUCGCAAGGCUGAA
rnacentral:rRNA from 1 species